rnacentral:misc_RNA from 1 species
AAUAAACUUUUUUUUUUUUUUUUUGAGAAAGUCACUGGCUAAUCUUUACUUUUUGUGUCAAUCUAAUGAUAAGUUUCUUCUUUUAUUAAUUGAAUUUGUUGUAUAUUUUCCUAAAAUAUGGCUUUUCUAUUUUACCCUGAUGCAAUUUGACUAGCAGUUGCUAUAUUGUAUUGUUGAUAGGAAUGUGGUUUGGCAACCUUUUGGUUAAUACUCUUUCUUUAAACCUGAUGCCAUUUAACUGAAUGCGGUCUUGGUCUCUGCGGUUUAGACUGUUUCUCCUGUUGGUGUUGCGGCCUUUCUCCGCCCCUUUCGAGCAGAGGUGGCUUCCUCCUAACCUGGAGAGUGGGUCACCCCCUCCUCACUUCUGGGUUAGGAUGUAAAUAGUAUAUUUUCUUUCGUGGAUUUGUUACAGAUCUAGGGAAGUCUUUGUGAGGGAUUGUUUGUUGAUCUGCUAGCCUUAGUCGAUUCUUUAGAGAUGUCGUAUAGGUUGUGUCUGUUAUUGAGUUUGGGCUUUGUGGAUGGUGCAUCUGUAAAGUCGGUGCAUGUCAACUUUGGGGCCUUUAUGCUCACCCUGUAGUGGUGGCCGCCCCUAAGACUAAAUGAGAGUGAGAAGUCGCGAGUUAAUGGCCGUGGGUUAUGGAGAUGGUUAUGGAAAUUGGAGGUCCAAGCAACAGGGGAAGAAGGUUUGAUUUCUGGUCAAAAUGCUUUGCUUCCAUCUUACGAGUUCUUGUGCUAAACACUUCUGGGACCUUUCUGCUUGUCAAGGGUGGCUGUCUUGGCUCUAGAGAUUAGAUGGUGGGAUUUUUGGCCGAUUAAAAAUGAGCACAGGCAAUGGAUUAACUACGUUCUUCUUUCCUCAACCUAGGGUUUCAAGUUUGUGGGCCAUGGGCCUUUUGUAUUGACUUAUAGCUGCUUGCCUUUGUUUUCAAUUGUAUUUCAAGCCUGAAAGCUUGUUGGCUAAUUCCUGUAAUGGGCCUUGUGCCCUGAUCGGCUUUAUUUAGUGGAGACUUCUUUUGCCUUUCG